UUGAGAUAAUACACAAUCUGACCUAUGAUUUCAUUGACUUAUUAAUCUCAAAUCUCUUUCAAUCCCAGCUAAUGUGAAGGUGACAUACAACCAUAAAUACAUUUAAUUACUUGAAUCCUUUAUAAUUGAAUUUUUCAUGUCUCAUUCUAUGAAGUCAACUCGUUCGAUCUUUACUAUUACUUGGUAACUUGAUCACAUACACCAUUUCAACAGCUCAGAGUCGAUUGCUACCAUUCAGCACUCCUGUUUUCCAUAUCUUCCAUUGAACGAAUAUAUUAUUGCAGUGAUCAGUUGCUUCAUCCCAAAAUUUCUACCAUUGAAAGGUUAGUUUCCCUUAACUACUCAUCUUUCUAAUCUAAUAACUAUUAGAAAAUCAAUCUUCAACCUUAGUCUCAAUCCAUCAAUUAGAAAAUACGAAUAACUUGAAAUAAAUACCUUAUAUAAAUAGUUUCAAGUACGGAAUUUGAGCCUUGAAUCUUAAACUCUAUGUGUUCUUGCUUCUAAGAAUUUUUGGGAGGAAGAAAAUGAGGGAUUUUAAAGAUUUCUGCUAGUUUAGGACGACUUAAAGAGUUAUACAACGGGUUGAGAAAGUUACAUGGGGUGAAAGGACAAGUUUUCCCCUGAUUUAGUAAGAAAAAAAUGGACUUUUACGUCAGAGAGGCAAACCAGUGAUCUCCUGGCUUGCACUGCCCAAUGCCUCACUAAAAUGUCCAUACUUUUUUACUUGGAAAGAAGACUGAAAAACCUUUAAUUUGGUAGGUAGUGGGCCACCUAACUCAUUAUAUACUAGGAUUAAUGAUCGUUGGAAGUUGACCCAAGUAAGAACGUCGACUAAAAGUCAAUCGGUAGGAAAAUUUUCAACUGAACUUUGAUCUAGGAGAUUUCUUUGACCUCAAUUCAUCUACAAAGAUGUUCCCAUACAAAGA